rnacentral:snoRNA from 1 species
UGGACCAAUGAUGAGACUGAUAUGAAUUAAAAUUUAUGAUUAAUCCAAAUUCAUGUACCUGUGAUCAUA